UAGGUGAUGUAAAACCAUGUGUUCAUGACA
rnacentral:piRNA from 1 species